GUGCGUAUGAUGGAAAAAUUGUAAGCUACUGAGACUUGUGAUGUCUUCAAAGGAACCACUGAUGCAC
rnacentral:snoRNA from 1 species